rnacentral:rRNA from 1 species
GAUGAACGCUAGCGGGAGGCCUAACACAUGCAAGCCGAGCGGUAUUGUUUCUUCGGCCAUGCGGGAGCGGCGUACGGGUGCGUAACACGUGUGCAACCUGCCUUUAUCUGGGGGAUAGCCUUUCGAAAGGAAGAUUAAUACUCCAUAAUAUAUUGAACGGCAUCGUUUAAUAUUGAAAGCUCCGGCGGAUAGAGAUGGGCACGCGCAAGAUUAGCUAGUUGGUGAGGUAACGGCUCACCAAGGCGAUGAUCUUUAGGGGGCCUGAGAGGGUGAUCCCCCACACUGGUACUGAGACACGGACCAGACUCCUACGGGAGGCAGCAGUGAGGAAUAUUGGUCAAUGGGUGCAAGCCUGAACCAGCCAUCCCGCGUGAAGGACGACUGCCCUAUGGGUUGUAAACUUCUUUUGUAUAGGGAUAAACCUACCCUCGAGAGGGUAGCUGAAGGUACUAUACGAAUAAGCACCGGCUAACUCCGUG